rnacentral:rRNA from 1 species
UACCAGCCCCCUGAGUGGUAAGGACGAUUAUUUGGCUUAAAGCGUCCGUAGCCGGCUUAGUGAGUCUCUUGUUAAAUCCAAUGAUUCAAUCAUUGAACUGCAAGAGAUACUACUAUGCUAGAGGACGGGAGAGGUCGACGGUAGUCCAAGGGUAGGGGUGAAAUCCUAUAAUCCUUGGAGGACCACCAGUGGCGAAGGCGGUCGACUAGAACGUGCCUGACGGUGAGGGACGAAAGCUGGGGGAGCGAACCGGAUUAGAUAUCCGGGUAGUCCCAGCUGUAAACGAUGCGGGCUAGGUGUAGGGGCAGCUACGAGCUGCUCCUGUGCCGCAGAGAAAUUGUUAAGCCCGCCGCCUGGGGAGUACGAUCGCAAGAUUGAAACUUAAAGGAAUUGGCGGGGGAGCACCACAAGGGGUGAAGGCUGCGGUUU